rnacentral:rRNA from 1 species
UACGUAGGGUGCAAGCGUUAAUCGGAAUUACUGGGCGGAAAGCGUGCGCAGGCGGUUUUGUAAGACUGUCGUGAAAUCCCCGGGCUCAACCUGGGAAUGGCGAUGGUGACUGCAAGGCUAGAGUUUGGCAGAGGGGGGUAGAAUUCCACGUGUAGCAGUGAAAUGCGUAGAUAUGUGGAGGAACACCGAUGGCGAAGGCAGCCCCCUGGGUCAAAACUGACGCUCAUGCACGAAAGCGUGGGGAUCAAACAGG